CAGCCGCCGCGGUGAAACGUAGGGGGCGAGCGUUAUCCGGAAUUAUUGGGCGUAAAGGGUGCGUAGGCGGUCUAUUAAGUCCGAUGUGAAAGACCACAGCUUAACUGUGGAGGCGCAUUGGAAACUGGUGGACUUGAGUAUGGUAGAGGUAAGCGGAAUUUCCAGUGUAGCGGUGAAAUGCGUAGAUAUUGGAAGGAACACCAGUGGCGAAGGCGGCUUACUGGGCCAUUACUGACGCUGAGGCACGAAAGCGUGGGGAGCAAAUAGGAUUAGAUACCCUAGUAGUCCACGCCGUAAACGAUGAGUGCUAAGUGUCGGGGUAACUCGGUGCUGAAGUUAACAUAUUAAGCACUCCGCCUGGGUAGUACGGCCGCAAGGCUGAAACUCAAAGGAAUUGACGGGUCCCCGCACAAGCGGUGGAGCAUGUUCUUUAAUUCGAUGCAACGCGAAGAACCUUACCUGGGCUUGACAUCCCGCUGACCGCUCUAGAGAUAGAGUUUUCCCUUCGGGGACAGCGGUGACAGGUGGUGCAUGGCC
rnacentral:rRNA from 1 species